rnacentral:tRNA from 1 species
GGGGCUGGGGCUCAGUGGUAGAGCACUUGCCUGGCAUGCAUGAGGCCCUGGGUUUGAUCCUCAGCACCA